CAGGACGAACGCUGGCGGCGUGCCUAAUACAUGCGAGUCGAACGCACUGACGUCGACAGAAGGUGCUUGCACUGGAAGUUGAUUGACGUGAGUGGCGGACGGGUGAGUAACACGUGGGUAACCUGCCCUUAAGCGGGGGAUAACAUUUGGAAACAGAUGCUAAUACCGCAUAAAAGUUGAGAUCACAUGGUCUUAAUUUGAAAGACGGCCUUUGGCUGUCACUUAAGGAUGGACCCGCGGCGUAUUAGCUAGUUGGUGAGAUAAUAGCCCACCAAGGCGAUGAUACGUAGCCGACCUGAGAGGGUAAUCGGCCACAUUGGGACUGAGACACGGCCCAAACUCCUACGGGAGGCAGCAGUAGGGAAUCUUCCACAAUGGACGAAAGUCUGAUGGAGCAACGCCGCGUGAGUGAAGAAGGUUUUCGGAUCGUAAAACUCUGUUGUUGGAGAAGAACAGGGACUAGAGUAACUGUUAGUCCUUUGACGGUAUCCAACCAGAAAGCCACGGCUAACUACGUGCCAGCAGCCGCGGUAAUACGUAGGUGGCAAGCGUUGUCCGGAUUUAUUGGGCGUAAAGCGAGCGCAGGCGGUUUCUUAAGUCUGAUGUGAAAGCCUUCGGCUUAACCGAAGAAGUGCAUCAGAUACUGGGAAACUUGAGUGCAGAAGAGGAAAGUGGAACUCCAUGUGUAGCAGUGAAAUGCGUAGAUAUAUGGAAGAACACCAGUGGCGAAGGCGGCUUUCUGGUCUGUAACUGACGCUGAGGCUCGAAAGUAUGGGGAGCGAACAGGAUUAGAUACCCUGGUAGUCCAUACCGUAAACGAUGAAUGCUAAGUGUUGGAGGGUUUCCGCCCUUCAGUGCUGCAGCUAACGCAUUAAGCAUUCCGCCUGGGGAGUACGGCCGCAAGGUUGAAACUCAAAGGAAUUGACGGGGGCCCGCACAAGCGGUGGAGCAUGUGGUUUAAUUCGAAGCUACGCGAAGAACCUUACCAGGUCUUGACAUCUAGCGCCAAUCCUAGAGAUAGGACGUUCCCUUCGGGGACGCUAAGACAGGUGGUGCAUGGUUGUCGUCAGCUCGUGUCGUGAGAUGUUGGGUUAAGUCCCGCAACGAGCGCAACCCUUAUGAUUAGUUGCCAGCAUUUAGUUGGGCACUCUAAUCAGACUGCCGGUGACAAACCG
rnacentral:rRNA from 1 species